UAACUUUUUAAGCGUAUAAAUGUACCGGGUCGGGACACAUGCGCUCGCAUAUGCGCGCUCGCAUGUGGCCGGAGCCUCUCCUCCUCUGCUGCUCGCCUUCACUCAGACAGCGCGCGCGUUCUCACGUUCUCGCGUUCUCGCGUUCUCGCGUACUCGCUCCACCUCACGUGCAUGCGCGCACACUACACACUGCAGAA